rnacentral:lncRNA from 1 species
UGGAGAACGGGGCCGAAUCAGACCGAAACCAGGGAGUUGUCACGGUCGAUCGGACCUGUUGGAGUGGUUGAACCGCCGGCCGUAGCGGGCCUGGGGUCUGUGGAUGGUAAGUGCAUUUAUUACCGAAUGAACCGGCGGUCAGGUAGAGCCAUACGCUCUGAUGGUUCAGUGAUCCGGAGAUCGUCUCGGGCCGUGUUCAUUAAAUGCCUGAG